rnacentral:lncRNA from 1 species
CCGGUGCAACAAACGUACCCUUAGGGUUUAACUUGGCAGAAAAGAGUUGCACGUGGAGCUUCAUAGCUCCAUAGAUAACGUGUUGGUGAAAACUCGAAGAUACCUUUUAGUAUUUUCUCCCAUCGUCACUUAACCCUGAUGACUUCAAUUUUUAUUCUGCAAUUGUCAAAACGUUAUCUAAGUUAACAUGAAAUGUUUUAAAAUGUUGUGAACAAUAAUAAUUUUAAUUUGGUUUUUUAGUCAAAAUGAUCCAUGAAAUCUUUGAGUUUGUCUACCAUCAAUCAUUUUGGUCAUUCCUUGAAAAAUUAAUGUAAAUAUGGACCAAAUAACAAAAAUAUUCUCAAUCAAAUAAACAAUUGACCAAAACGAUAUGACAAAAAUUGAGGGUAUUUUUGACAUUUUAUCCUUAUAUAAUAAAGAUUUUUUAAGGAAUUACCAAAAUGAUUGAUGAUGGACA